AUAUUAUUAAGCGGAGGAAAAGAAACUAACAAGGAUUCCCCUAGUAACGGCGAGUGAAGCGGGAAAAGCUCAAAAUGAAAAUCGGGUGGCUCAACAGUUAUCCGAGUUGUAAUCUUAAGGCUUGUUUUCUGCGUGUGACCCGGGUAUAACUCUUUUGAAACAAGGGAUCAUAGAGGGUGAAAAUCCCGUCUUUGACCCGGAGUUCGCCGCGUACGAUACAUGUCCAAAGAGUCGAGUAGCUUGGGAUUGCUGCUCAAAAUGGGUGGUAAACUUCAUCUAAAGCUAAAUACCGGCCAGAGACCGAUAGCGCACAAGUA
rnacentral:rRNA from 1 species